rnacentral:rRNA from 1 species
CUGGGCUCGAAGCGCAGUGGACCGGGGUAGAAAUAUCCCUUCCCCUUAAAAGGCUGCUGCGGAGGUGCUGCAUGGCUGUCGUCAGCUCGUGUCGUGAGAUGUUGGGUUAAGUCCCGCAACGAGCGCAACCCUUAUCCCUAGUUGCCAUCGGGUCAAGCCGGGCACUCUAGUGAAACUGCCUCGGAUAACGAGGAGGAAGGUGGGGAUGACGUCAAGUCCUCAUGGCCUUUAUGUCCGGGGCUACACACGUGCUACAAUGGUCGGUACAAACCGUCGCAAACCCGUGAGGGGGAGCUAAUCGGAAAAAGCCGGCCUCAGUUCGGAUUGGAGUCUGCAACUCGACUCCAUGAAGCUGGAAUCGCUAGUAAUCGCGGAUCAGAACGCCGCGGUGAAUACGUUCCC